rnacentral:lncRNA from 1 species
UCCUUUCUCCCUGCUUAUUACCCAGGCCCUCCCCUACCUUUCCUUACACAGCGCUUUGUUUCCGGGGAGGCAGUUCUCUGGGGAUUUUAAGCAGAUGAUUGAGUGUAUGAUGGUUUUAAACCAACUCGUAACAAUCUCAGGCAAACUGCGAGGAAGCCAGGCUCACAGUGUGCUGUGAAGUCUGCUCCAGUUGUGUAGCAUGAUCCUGAACGUGCUGGCUGUGGAGGAGGCACGAGCAAAGGCCAGGGGCACCUCCUUUUUCUAUUGCUUGAAACAAAUUCUUUGCAUCUCAUCGGAGGCCCUCUUCUGGCCAAGUACUCUGACUUGUGGAGGUGGGGGGGGGGGGGUUGUUUAUGCAUCUGGGUGUCUCUCGGCCUGGGUCAGAGAGUCCGGAGGAUUCUAACCUGCCUGGGGAGAGAAAGUCUUGUAAAGUGAAGGGGGUACCAUCUGCUUACGUGGGCUUCUUCCAGCUCAUGUGGAUUAAAAACAGACAAACACAGAAUCAGGACUACAUUUUCAGAACUCUCUGGAAAUUACUUAAGUCUAUUUAGGAAGCUGUGUGCGCUGGCUUCCUGCUUCUCUAAUCCCAGGUGGUUCUCUUGAGGUUAUGGAAGGGGGGUGUGUGUGCACGGGGGAGGGUGUGCUUGUAUAUAUAUGAAAUGGGUUUGUUUAAAGC